rnacentral:piRNA from 1 species
UGACAGACCUGUGUGGCAGGUGUU